UUCUUAAGUUUAGUCAAAUUUAUCAGUCUACCUUUAUGGUUUGGGCUUUUUGCAUUUGGUUUAAACAAAAUCAGGGAAAACCCUUUCCUACACUGGGCCUAUUACAAUAGUCUCUGUUUUCUUUUUAAAGUUUUAAAAUUUUGGUUUUUCAUAUUUAAGACAGUCCACUUGGAGAUUUGUUUCUUUUUGUUCUAGGAAUCUAAUUUUUAAUAUCUGCCCCUAUGGCUAACCAGUUCCUGCGAUAACUAAUCAUUCAUGUAAUAGUUCACCCUUUCCCUGCUCAUUUUUUAUGUUUCUGUUACAUACACGUAAAUCUGGGGGCCUUCUGGCCCAUUAGUCUCUGUCUUCCCUGUGCCAAUAAUACAGGGUCUUGUUACUUUGGAAGUCUUGAUAGUUGAGGUGCCAAGCCCCCACUAUUUUCUUCUUUCACAAGUGUCUUGGUUAUUCUCGGCCCUUUGCUUUUCCACACGAGCUUAGGAUUGUCAGUGGAAUCUUCUUGGAAAUUGUGAUCGAGUAAUCAAAGCCAUGAAAGUUAAUCUAAUAUUAUUUCUUUAUCAUUAUUAAGAAUGAUUUUAAUAAUAGGAGAGAAUUGCUUAUAUUCAAAGGUCUUCUGAGGGAUAGAUGGAAAAUACAUUUGUAUAUAUUAAUUCAGAGCCAGAGAAAUGUACAUUCUAACCAAUUAUGUGGGCACUGGGGCCUCUGUGGGUAGUUUUCUGUGUGUCCAUACGGCCACUGUCUGCUUGAAGUUACGGAAUCACAGACAUGACCAGAAAGAGGCUUCGGUGAGGUUCCUCAGGGUUGCUAACAAAAAUCCAUUCAUGAUUCCAGCCCAAAUUUCUGCUCCUUUUAAAAGCCUGCUUAGAAGGCAACCAAAAAAUUUCUACCAGAAGCUGUAAAACAUCCAUAAUAUGGCUGGAUCCUACUUUCUAGAAUCACCCUUUUAUUGAUUGACAUUUAUGUUGUCUCCAACGCUGCAAUGAAUAACCUUACUUCAAUGACUAAUCAUAUACACAGGGAAUUUGCCCAAAGGCCUCCCGUGACGGCAGUGAAGGAGACAGACCGGGUGCUGUGGUUGAGAAGGAUGGGGAAGAGGGCUAAGAGGCCACCCCAGAUGGUGAUGCUGAUGUGUCCUGGAGGAUGCAAAGAACUCUGGAACUCAUAAAGAAGUGCAAGAAGUGGGGGGAAGGUUGAAGUAGUCUCGGAACCCCGACAUGGUUGGAGUGCAAUGUCUGAGAAAUAGAGCAGCAUUGGCUGAGGCUGGAGAUGCAAGCAGUGGCCGGAUGGAGCAGAAGGGACAGACUGUGCAGCCCAAGUCGCUGCAGGCUCACAUGCAUUCCACUCUUCCGCCAAAGACACCAUCAGGGAUGCCCUCCCACUCUGGCUGGCCCUUGACCGUUGCGUUCCAGACCCACAGGCCAGGCCUGCUUCCACGUCAGACUCUUGUUACUUCUUGUUUCCUCUACCUGGAGGGCCUUUCCCAGAUAUCCAUUAGGUGCUCAACCUGGCUUCAUUUAGGUUUUUACUCCGUGUCACUUUCUAGUGAGCCCUUUUCUGGCCAGCUCACCUAAAAUUGCAAAUCUGUCUCUCCUUCGCCAACAUUUCCUAUUGCCGAUGACUAUUUUCCCCUCAACGCUUAUUGCUAACAUCCUGUGUACUUUAUUUUCUCUUGUUUAUUGUCUCCUCUCUAGCCAGAAUACGAGGCCCAUGAGGACUAGGAUUUUUUAUCCAUUUGGUUCACUGCUGUGUCCCUAGCACCAAGGAUAGGGAUGGCAUACAGUAGGUGCUAAAUUAAUAUUUAAUGAAUGACUGAAUCUUCACAGCAGCCUCAUGAGUGAUAACAAGAGACUAGAAAUGAUUGAGUGUCCAACAAUAAAGGAAUAAUUACAUACAUUUUUGUGUGAUAAUAUGUAGUUUUAAAAGGCUCAUAUGUAGUAGAUAUAAAUAGACAUGAAAAGCUGUCCAUUUUAUGUUAAAUGGUAAAGGAAAG